UACGUAGGGGGCAAGCGUUGUCCGGAUUUAUUGGGCGUAAAGCGCGUGUAGGCGGCUUGGUAGGUCCGCUGUGAAAACUCGAGGCUCAACCUCGAGCUGUCGGUGGAAACCACCUUGCUAGAGUCCGGAAGAGGAGAGUGGAAUUCCUGGUGUAGCGGUGAAAUGCGCAGAUAUCAGGAAGAACACCAAUGGCGAAGGCAGCUCUCUGGGACGGUACUGACGCUGAGACGCGAAAGCGUGGGUAGCAAACAGG
rnacentral:rRNA from 1 species